GAUGAAGAACGCAGCGAAAUGCGAUAACUAAUGUGAAUUGCAGAAUUCCGUGAAUCAUCGAGUCUUUGAACGCACAUUGCGCCCCCUGGUAUUCCGGGGGGCAUGCCUGUCCGAGCGUCAUUGCUGCCCAUCAAGCACGGCUUGUGUGUUGGGUCCCGUCCCCCUCUCCCGGGGGACGGACCCGAAAGGCAGCGGCGGCACCGCGUCCGGUCCUCGAGCGUAUGGGGCUUUGUCACCCGCUCUUGUAGGCCCGGCCGGCGCUUGCCGACACCCAACCAUUUUUUUCAGGUUGACCUCGGAUCAGGUAGGGAUACCCGCUGAACUUAAGCAUAUCAAUAAGCGGAGG
rnacentral:misc_RNA from 1 species